GGUUUGAUCAUGGCUCAGAUUGAACGCUGGCGGGAUGCUUUACACAUGCAAGUCGAACGGCAGCACGGACUUCGGUCUGGUGGCGAGUGGCGAACGGGUGAGUAAUGUAUCGGAACGUGCCUAGUAGCGCGGAUAACUACGCGAAAGGUGGAAGCACACGUAUGCUAUUCUUCGGGGGAAAGCGGGGGGACCUUCGGGCCUCGCACUAUUAGAGCGGUCAGAUAUCGGAUUAGCUAGUUGGUGGGGUAACGGCUCACUAAGGCGACGAUCCGUAGCUGGUUUGAGAGGACGACCAGCCACACUGGGACUGAGACACGGCCCAGACUCCUACGGGAGGCAGCAGUGGGGGAAUUUUGGACAAUGGGAAACCCUGAUCCAGCCAUCUGGGCGUGCAGUGAUGAUGAAGGCCUUCGGGUUGUAAAAGCACUUUUGGCAGGAAAGAAACGGCACGGAUAAUAAUCGUGCAACUGACGGUACCUGCAGAAUAAGCACCGGCUAACUACGUGCCAGCAGCCGCGGUAAUACGUGAAGUAAGCGUUAAUCGGAAUUACUGGGCGUAAGCGUGCGCAGGCGGUUCGGAAAGAAAGAUGUGAAAUCCCAGAGCUUAACUUUGGAACUGCAUUUUUAACUACCGAGCUAGAGUGUGUCAGGAGGGAGGUGGAAUUCCGCGUGUAGCAGUGAAUGUGAUAUGCGGAGGAACACCGAUGGCGAAGGCAGCCUCCUGGGAUAACACUGACGCUCAUGCACGAAAGCGUGGGGAGCAAACAGGAUUAGAUACUCCUGGUAGUCCAUUCUAAACGAUGUCAACUAGCUGUUAGCCUUCGGGCCCGGUAGCGCAGCUAACGCGGUGAAGUUGACCGCCUGGGGAGUACGGUCGCAAGAUUAAAACUCAAAGGAAUUAGACGGGGAACGCACAAGCGGUGGAUGAUGUGGAUUAAUUCGAUGCAACGCGAAAACCUUACCUACCCUUGACAUGUCUGGAAUCCCGAAGAGAUUUGGGAGUGCUCGCAGAGAAACCGAACCAGGUGCUGCAUGGCUGUCGUCAGCUCGUGUCGUGAGAUGUUGGGUUAAGUCCGCAACGAGCGCAACCCUUGUCAUUAGUUGCUAAUAGAAAGGGCACUCGAUGAGACUGCCGGUGACAAACUGGAGGAAGGUGGGGAUGACGUCAAGUCCUCAUGGCCCUUAUGGGAAGGCUUCACACGGCGUACAAUGGUCGGGACAGAGGGUCGCCAACCCGCGAGGGGGAGCCAAUCCCAGAAACCCGAUCGUAGUCCGGAUCGCAGUCUGCAACUCGACUGCGUGAAGUCGGAAUCGCUAGUAAUCGCGGAUCAGCAUGUCGCGGUGAAUACGUUCCGGUCUUGUACACACUGCCCGUCACAUGGGAGUGGGUUUUACCAGAAGUAGUUAGCCUAACCGUGAGGGCGAUUACCACGGUAGGAUUCAUGACUGGGGUGAAGGUAAUGAAGGUAG
rnacentral:rRNA from 1 species